UGAGCAACCUGCCCCUGACUCUGGGAUGACCCCGGGAAACCGGAGCUAAUACCGGAUACGACACGCGAAGGCAUCUUCUGCGUGUAGAAAGAUUUAUCGGUCAGGGAUGGGCUCGCGGCCUAUCAGCUUGUUGGUGGGGUAACGGCCCACCAAGGCGACGACGGGUAGCCGGCCUGAGAGGGCGACCGGCCACACUGGGACUGAGACACGGCCCAGACUCCUACGGGAGGCA
rnacentral:rRNA from 1 species